UUGGAGGGCAAGUCUGGUGCCAGCAGCCGCGGUAAUUCCAGCUCCAAUAGCGUAUAUUAAAGUUGUUGCAGUUAAAAAGCUCGUAGUUGAAUUUCGGGAUCAAUUUGCUGGUCGUGCCUCUGGUACGUACUGGUAUUAUUGGUUUCUCCCUUCUGACGAACCAUGAUGUCAUUAAUUUGAUGUCGUGGAGAAUCAGGACUGUUACUUUGAAAAAAUUAGAGUGUUUAAAGCAGGCAUUAGCUUGAAUACAUUAGCAUGGAAUAAUGAAAUAGGACGUUUGAUCCUAUUUUGUUGGUUUCUAGGAUUGACGUAAUGAUUAAUAGGGAUAGUUGGGGGCAUUAGUAUUCAAUUGUCAGAGGUGAAAUUCUUGGAUUUAUUGAAGACUAACUACUGCGAAAGCAUUUGCCAAGGAUGUUUUCAUUAAUCAGGAACGAAAGUUAGGGGAUCGAAGGCGAUCAGAUACCGUCGUAGUCUUAACCAUAAACUAUGCCGACUAGGGAUCGGAUGAUGUUAAUUUUUUAAUGACUCAUUCGGCGCCUUACGGGAAACCAAAGUGUUUGGGUUC
rnacentral:rRNA from 1 species